AUAAAAUCAAUAAAAAAAGUGUGUUAAAAUGGACCAUUUAGAAUAAAUAAUUAAAAUAAAAUAUUAAUAUUAAAAAAAUACGAAAAUAAAAAUUAUAUAAAAUUAAGUAAAAAGUUAAUAAAAGUGAAAAAUAUUUUUGGAUAAUUUUAUGGACGAAGAAAAUAUUUUAAAUAAGAAAAAGAAAUAUGAAAAUGGAAGGAUUAAUGGUGAUGAACAUGGUAAGCAAGCGUAGAAAUCAAAACAUGGCAAUGGAAAGAGAUGAUUACCUAAUGGAAAAUAGAAGUAGAAUGGAAUCUGAUAUGUGAUGAAGCUUUGCCUCCUUGCCACGAAAUUCCAAUGCUCCUUUAGGGUUAGGGUUUCAGCUUCUUAAAUAGGGUGGAUUAGGUGUCUCAUGAGCUUUUUAAUAAGUGAUUUAUCCAUUAAGAUAAAAAGUGUGAAGUGAGGUGUAAAAUGUUGUUAUUUUGGGCCAAACUUAAGUGAAUGGAUGUCCAAUACAUGGCCAAAAGAGUUAAAAAAACGUGAUUGGUUUGUGCAGCAUGCUUAGAAAAUCUGAUUGGGUCAGCCAGCCCAAAAUCUGCCUAGAAAAUCAAGUCAUGGUGCCCACUUUAAAUGAAUGUAUCUCUCAAACCAUGGAUCCAAAUGAGAUGAUUCCAAAAGGAUGUGAAAUAGGACAUUGCAAGGUACAAUUGUUGUGAGAAAGUAUUUUCAAAUUAUACCUUGAAGUGCAAAAAACUAGCUAAAGAAGUCUUGACAAAUUUUGAAGAUUUUGGACUUAGAAAUUUUUCUAAGUGUCCUAAAAAAAUGUCUCACUUUGACUAAGCAUAACUUUCUCAAUUCUAACCCAAAUGGAGCAAACUUUAUAUCUCUAUAAAGUUUGGAACAAGAGGAACAACUUUCGUGUUGGAGAAAUUUUCAAAUGAAGCUUUUUAUCCUGAUGCAAAAUGGGCUUAAAGUGAGUGCAACGAUCAUAAAACUUGCCCUAAAUGGAAAAGUCAACCAUUUCCAAAUUAAGUAACUUUUCCAAUUCCUAAUUAAAUGAUGAAUCCAUGAUCUAACCUUGAUCAAAUUUCACAUGUAGGAUCCCCUAGGCAUGGAUUUUGAGAUUCCACUCUUAAAAUGUCAGGAGUUGACUUUUCUGGCCCCACAGUUGACUUUUCCCAAACUGUCUGAUUCUCGAUUCCAUUGAUCAAUUGAAGCACUUCUAGCUCAAAUAAAGAGUUGAUUUUUUGUAUGUAGACCCUUGUGGAUAUAUGUAGGGACAUGGAAAAGAGUUUCACCCAAAGAAUCAGAAAUAAACUGAUUUUAUACCAAACCCUAGUUUAGGGCAAAAUGAUCAGGAACUGAUUGCACUGAUUGUCAAUGGAUCUUUCUGAGAUAAUUGUGAAUCUUCCUAGGCCAAGAUUCCUCUCUAAUCAUGACAUGGAUGAGCUCUUCUACUUCCAACCAAACAUUUCCUAUUGCAGGUAGCCAUGAAACCCUAAUUUCUGAUUAAAUCCAGAUGAACACUCUGAUAGCUUUGAAUCCUUCACUGAUGAACUGAGGACCAUAAUAAGAUACUUGGACCCCCCUGAGACCCUUGAGACUUGUAUACUUAGAAAAUGAAGUCCAAUUCUCAAUCUUGCUUUGUGUGGACUCCUUAUAUUAAGGAGUGAUCGAUCAAAACCUGAUCUCCAUGUCACUAAUGCAGUAUGGAAUGAGUAUGACCUAAUAUGAUGCUAAUGAAGUCUAAAACAUAAUCCCAUGCUUCCAGGAAAAAUGAAGGGUAAAUUUUGGGGUAUUACAAGUCCCAUAUGACUUCGACAACCCAAUCAAUCAUGUUGCGAAAGACUGUGAGGAAUAUUAUAAACUCCCCGAGGAGUUAGCUCGACUACUGGAGCAAGAGUCAAAGGUCAUUCAACCAAAUGAACAAUUGGUAAAAGUUGUCAACCUUGGAACCGAAGAGGAAGAAAAGGAGGUCAGAAUAGGCUCAUCUCUAUAAGAGGAUAUAAAGACAAAGUUGGUCAAGCUACUACAAGACUAGAUGGAUGUGUUUGCUUGGUCCUACCAAGUCAUGUCUGGUCUUAACACUGACUAAAGGUGUGAAAAACACAAGAAAGGGGGGUUUGAAAUGGGUUCUACAAAGCAAAAUCCUUUUUACCAACUCAAAAACACCACUUCAAAGCUAAUAACAAAGAGAUAAGAACACAUGUAUUUUUAUCCUGGUUCGCUUGAAACUCAAAGCUACUUCAGUCCACCCUUCAAGGUGAUUUUGCCUUAUACAAAAGGACUUAAUCCACUAUAAUCUACAGAUUACAAUAUUCACAAAGAAUAACCUUAUUUGCCUUCUCAAGGAUCCGACUAUAUCCUAGUCUCCUUAAGGAUUCACAAAGAAUAACCUUCUUUAUCUUCUCAAGAAUUCGACUAUACCCUAGUCUCCUUAAGGAAUCAAACAAACAGUUUGAAUGAUAUUUUGUGUCUUACAAGUUGCUUAUAGACAAGCAAAUUUUACACAAAUGAUAAACAAUUACUUAAAGAAAAACUAUGUACAAAGAAUGAUAGCUUUAGUAUAUUUUUUUGUCGUCACUACUUUUUUUCUUCAAGUCUCAAAGUCUUACUUAUAUAGCAUAAGAAGAAGACCAUUGGAGGGGAAAAUGGGGAAAGCUCAUAGAGCGGUUAUCCACUAUUGGAUAAUGAAAUGAGUGAUAUUGCAUAAUGUCCUUCGCCCAUAAAAUCAGUGACAUGUGUGAUGUAUAGUACUAUCCUUUGCCCAUAAAACCAGGUAGUGGAAAUGAUAUUUGACUUGUACUAUGUACUAUUUGAUACGUACCCAUUUGAUCUUAUCUUCAAGUUCAUUGGCUUCUGAUGAAAGUUGAUGAAGCAUGAAAUGAAGAAAGAUAAAGCUGGAUUCAUAAACUUCAGAAUCUAUGGUCAGAACCUUGACAACGUCAGUAGUCUAGCUAGAGGUCUUCAGUAUCUUCAGAAUCUUCAGAAUCUUCAGAAUCUUCAGAGUCUUCCGAAUCUACAAUCAGAACCUUGAUAACCUCAAUCGUCUAGCUUGAGAUCUUCAAAAUCUUUAGCUACGUAACAUAACUUCAAAAGCUUGUCAUUCUUCAAAAGCUUGGUGAUCAGAGUCACGUCCAGAAGCACGAACUGAGAGAACGUUGCAGCAACAACAUAGCUUCUCGAUAGUGAAUCAACACGGAAGCAGAAAGAUCAUUGUAGCAACAAUAUUGAACAUCUUUUAGAACUUCUUAUAACUGGCGCAUAAGUGGAUUUGGAACUCAUUGUUCCGAAAUUGAUGAUGUUGUACAUCAUAUACUCAGAAUCAAAACUGACUAUUAAAGUUACACAAUAACAAACCAUUAGAGUACCAAAAUUGUUCUCACAUAAAUACAACAUUGUUAUCAUCAAAACUCAAGGUAUAGAUGUAGAACCAAAUCUUGUUCUAACACCGACAUCGUGGUCCACCGUCUACCCCUUAAAGAAGAUUUCCCUCCUGUGAAACAAAAGCUAAGAAGGACUCGUCCUGACAUGGCAAUGAAGAUUAAGGAGGAAGUGCAAAAGCAGCUUGAAGCGGGAUUUCUAUCCGUAGCCAACUACCUUCAGUGGAUAGCCAACAUUGUGUGUGUGCCCAAGUGUAGCAGUAAAUUCAUGACCAUCAAGCUAUGAAUAAGCUUAACGUCAAUAAAACCAGAGUCACAACUGCGCUUUUAUUAUUUCCAAAGGAAAAGGGAAAAGUACGAACAAAACCCAAAGAUAAGAAGUUUUCAAAUCAAAAUUAAUAAAAUUCUAGAGAUUACAGGUUAGGGGGUUGGUUACACAGAGGGAAGGUGUUAGCAUCCAAAGUGUCCUAGGUACUCCUAGGGAGCCCUUUUUUAUGUGUAUAUGCGUUUUUGGUAUAAAAGAUGUUUGAGAAAAAUAGAGUGUGAGGAUGAGAAAAGAAUUCAUUGAUUAUAUUUUUGUGUUUGACAAGACCUUCGGACUUGUGCUUACAUACCAACAUAAAAAUGAGGGAUCAAAACCUCGUAGUUUGUGGUAACAAUUUCAAAGUUGGUGAAUUAGUUUUAACAAAAGUUUAAAUGAAAAGGGCACAAAGGGCCAAAAAUCUGAAUGAGGUUGUUAGUUCUUUUUGUCUUUUUGAAAUUUUAAGUCAAUAUGAUUAAAUUUAUUUACAAAUUUGAUUUAAGAAAGAGUUUGAAAAUCCAUUGACAUAAGGCCAAAGUUUCUAUUUAAAAUAAGGUCUAAGUUUGGAAUCACAUGAAAAGAAUUUUUUUGAAAAGGGGGAGAGAUUUUGAAAUUUAAGAAGUGGGAGAAGAUGAAGAGGUUAUCCUAAGCAUAAAAAUUAAAAGUUUAGAGUUUAAAAGAUCUGACCAAUGGGAUGCAAUCCAACAUACAAGAAUGUCAUAUAGAAAACCCACUUUCCUUUUGGACUUAGGAUCAAUCAAUAAUUAAGGAGAAAUUAGAAAUAUCCAGACAUUAAGAAGAUCAAGGCAUCAAAUAAAGAUACCCACAUCCAAGCAAGCAAUACCCAUAGCUAGCAGUCUUCUUUGUCUUCUCAUGUACCAGAUGAAAUAUUCCUCGAUCAACUUAGAACAAAGCAUCAAACACAAGAUCAAAAUAACAAUUAGCACCAAGAACAAAGUAGCAGAUGAAUUCAAAUAAAUCCCAAGACUUGCACCAGGUGAAGCCUUAGUUCACAAUAACUCAGUAUCAGAAUGUUGGCAUUGGCCAAGACCUUUUUGCACAGGGAAUGUUACCUAAUCCUAAGUCCAAAAGGUCAGAUCAAGAUCAAUAGUCCACCAAACAUUUUUUAGGGUUUUUGUUUUUAUUAAGUAUUUUAAGGUCCUAAGACCACAAACAAAAUAAAAAUGCACAAACAAUAUAUACAAUCACAAGAUAUGGCUCAAAUGAGCAAAGUGAAAAUAACAUAAACAUACACAAGUUAAAUGAAAUGUAAAUGGCAAUGAAUGAUAAAUGACUGAAAGUUAAAUUGCAUAAAGUAAAUGACUUGAAAGUAAAGCAAUAUUAACGAUAGUUAGUCAAAUGUUAGUCAAGGAUUAGUCAAGUGUUAGUGGUAUUUUUUAAUUGAUUAAGUCAUUCUUUGGAGAACACCCAUCCAUCCAUUCACAAGCAUGGAUCCUUAAACCAAGACAUCUUCCAUGAGAAGGGCUCCAACAUGGAUAAUUCAACAAGUAUGCCACUAGCUCUCAUGAAAGGAAAAAAAACUCAAGUUUCCACACAAUACCAUGAAGAAUAGGAGACUUACAAUCUCACUUAAUAGAAUGCUAUGCCAUUAGGGUCAAAUUUAGCUCUAUGUUAAGCAAUCGUUAUUGGACUUAUGUAGAAGUCACAACUAUCUGAGGUCGGGCAAUAAAAAUUUAGGUGUUAAUACAUGUUAGAGAUUUGGUAUAAUGAACCAAACUACUAAAACAUACCACACACUAAAAGAAAAGAUCAAGAGGGGUGAACCUAUCUCAAUCAUACUUGUAUUGGUUCAUAUGACACAAGGUCAUUGAUGAACCAAUUAGCCUUAAGACAUUAGAGAUUUUAUUGGUCAAAUGAGAGUAUGAGAAAGAAUAGGGAUGAAGAUGGAGAUGGAGGGGAAGAUAGAAACACAAAUUGGUCAUGGGAGGAGUUUUAUCAAAUUAAAACCAUUCAUUCAUUUUGGGAGAUGAAAUGUACAUUUCAUCAAUCCCCUAAAUCCAAUGGUUUUAAUCCAAGAAAAUUCAAAUCAACCUUGACCAAGGCCCAAACAAAUAGUCAAACAUCACAAGACCAUAAAAAUGACUCAACAUAAUUUUUACACAUUUAAUCAAUUAAAAAUCAAUUUAAAAAUGCAUUAAAAUAUAAUUUAAUUUGGUCAAAACCUAAAAUCUCUUCAAAACACCAAAUAAUGGGCCAAGAGAUUUAUCAUAGGUCAAACAAGGUCAAAGGACCUUAGACAAAAAAAUUCAUGAUUUUUGAAAAGUCAGAAGUAUUUUUAAACAAUUAAAAAUAUGCACAAAAACAUUUAAUUCAUGAAAAAUAUCAAAAUAAAUCCAAAAAAUAAUUUUAAUUCAGAAUAUGGAAGAGAAAAAUAUUUAAAGAUUUUUCGUGGAAGUCCCAUAUUUCUUGGAUUAAAAAUGAAAUUAAUAUGAAUUAAACAAAAUAAAGGGAUUAAAUGAAAAAUCAGAAAAUAAAAAGAAAUUAGAAAAAACAAGGGCCAUCAGAUCUCCCUUAUUAAUUAAGGUGGCAGAUCUGAUGUCCACGUGCUCGCGAUCCACGAUGCACCUCAGUCAAAGCAUCACACAUGUGGUAAUUCAAAGGAGGGGCUGAGAUUAAAACAUUUGAACAUGACAUGAUGGUCAUGAGGCGUGCCAACACACCACCGGAGCUAGGGCUACGGUCAUCUCUUCUGAUGACCUCCACCGGACUGGUCCAACUUCAUUUCAAAGGAAAAUGACAAACAAUGAUACUAUUUCAAAGAGAAAAUGCUCAGGAUCAUGAAUCUGGCCUCAAUUUUCUCCAAUUCCAACUAUAUAAAAAGAUACAGGGAUUUGAAUUUUGAGGAUCAUGAACUGAGUUGCUUCACUUUAACCUCAAAGCAACUCAAUCUUGUUGCCUACAUUGGUAAGACUCUAGCCAACCAAAAAUCAAAGAAAAUAGUGAAGAAUUGAGAGAGAAUCGAAGAGAUGAAAAUUCUGGAAAAUCACCUUCGAGUGAGCUUCAAACUUGCUUGAUCUUGCUUCCAAUUGGCCUUAGCUUGACUUCAUAAGCUUGUAGGAGUUGAAUUGGAUCAAGGAAAAAGCUUGUAGGAGUUUCAAUCUUAAAACAGAAUGAGAUUUGAAGCUCGAUUUUCAAAUGAAAACCUUCAAGAUUAUCCUUUAAUGGUGAGGGUUUGGAUUGCAGGUUCAAAGCUUGAGCACGAGGUCCUUAAUUCUGAGCCAAGAGGGUCUUAUUUAUAUGCUAUGCAUUUGAUUUUCACACACUUCCAAAAUUGGCCAAAAAUAGCAAUUCCCUUGCAUGCUUGUAUGGGCGUGUGAUAGGCCCAUCAAAUGAUGCUAUCAGGUCCAAAAUCACUCAUGUGCAAUGCUGAAAUUAUGUCAUGUGGUCAUGCAAAGGAGAUUGAAGUGUGAAUGUGAAAUCCAUUCGAAUGAACCUUUGAAAAGAACCCAUGCGCAAGUCCUCCAAUUCUUGGAUAAAUGUAAUGAUCUUGGACUUUUUGGCAUGGUGAUAUCAAGGGGAACAACUUUCAUGUUGUACACUUUUGCAUUUGAAGCUUGGAUCAUAAUGAAUUUUGAGGUGGAAGUUUGUAAAAUUAAACAUAUUUGAAAAUUUUCGAAGUACCAAGUCAAAUGUUCACUUCUUCCACCUUGAAUAACUUUUGUUAUGGGAUUCAAAUGGAAAUUGUUCCUUCAUUAAAGUUAUAGAUAGUUCAAACCUAUUCGAUUUGGUCAGAAAUUUGACCUCAUUUAUAUUUGGCAUGAAGGAGUUAUGCAUUUUAGAAGUUGAGGAAAAUCACUUGUUCAAUGGUAGUGGCCCAAAAUGACCUAUAAUGUUUCCUCUUGGAACAUGCAUUUUCAAGUUGAAUUUGAACUUAUUCCAAGAAUACAAGUUGGAGAGGACAUCUUGAAUUUGAUCAUGAAACUUUAAUGGCUUUCAUAUCAUUAAAAUUGAGCAAGUUAUGGUCCUUGUAAGUUGACCUUUUAACUAGGGUUCAAACAAAUUGACCUAUAAUCUUUUACCAUAAAUAAUGACUUUCCAAGCAAAACUACAUCUUAACUUAAACAUGAAAGAUGUUUAGAAUGUCAUAAGGAGUAACUUCUCUCUUGGAAUCAUUUUCAUAUGAUAAAUAUUGUAGGAGAUAUGGUCUAGGGAACCCCAGUUUUGACUAGUUGAGUUUCUCUGGUCAACCACCAUGAACCAACUUGCAAAAUUGAAGUUCUCUUGGACUCAUGGAGGAUAAUAUAUGUGUAACAUGAUUUAAUAUGAAGUAUACUUUGAAAUUUUUGAUCAAAUGUUGAAGAAACUUGAUGAAGAAGUCACACAGGAUACCCAGAUGAAGUAGGGCUUCCAAGGCAAAUAAGAUUCAAACUCUUGAUGAUUUCUUAAUCAAAAUGAUAUGUGAAGACCAUGGGGAUCCACAUGUGAUGUCUAGAGUCAAUGUGAACCAUAUUUUGGUUAGUCUCCUUGCAUUGAGGGUCUCGAACCCUAGAUAUGAGCUUGAUGGAGCAUGGGUGAACACACAUACACUACCUUUUGAAUUUGGGUUAGUAAAUAAUGAAAAAUAAAGUAUGAUACAAUGAAAUGUGCUUGGUGAUAUCUCCUAAUGCAAACCCAAUGAAUGAUGGGUAAGGAGGAUGCCAAGGUGUGAUCCCAAAAGCUAAUGCAUAUGAUGAGAUAACAUGAGGGAUCUUAGGGUCAAAAUUGGGGUCUUACACCAAGAAGGAUUGCAAAGUAAGGAUGUGCAUAGAAUACCGAGACUUGAAUAAAGCUAGUAUGAAAGAUGAUUUCUCACUGCCUCAUAUUGAUGUGCUAGUGGAUAAUACAACUCAAUUCUCCGUCUUCUCCUUCAUGGAUGGAUUCUCCCGAUGUAACCAGAUUAAGAUGGCUCAAGACGACAUAUAGAAAACAACCUUUAUCACCCCAUGGGGAACAUUCUGCUACGAGGUGAUGCCCUUCAGACUAAAUAAUGUCGGUGCAACUAUCAAUGUACCAAGGUCACACUCUUUCACGACAUGAUUCAUAAAGAGAUCGAGGUCUACGUUGACGACAUGAUUGCCAAAUCUCUAACCGAAGAAGAGUAUGUAGUCAAUCUGGAGAAGCUCUUUGCAAGGCUAAAGAAAUUCAAGUUAAGGCUCAAUCCCAGUAAAUGCACCUUUGGGGUACGAUCCGGAAAACUUCUAGGAUUUAUCGUUAGCCAACGCGGUAUUGAAGUUGAUCCUGAAAAGGUCAAGGCCAUCCAAGUUAUGCAUGCUCCCAAAAUUGAGAAGGAAGUCUGUGGAUUUCUUGGGACAUUGAAUUACAUCGCCCGAUUCAUAUAUCACUUCACGACCACCUGUGAUCUAGUUUUCAAGCUACUUCGCAAGAAUUGGGAAAUUGUGUGGAAUGAAAAUUGCCAAAAUGCCUUUGAGAUGAUCACAGAGUAUUUACAAGAACCUAUAAUUCUGAUGCCUCAUGUGCUAGACAGACCUCUCAUCGUGUACCUUAUAACUCUCGAGGGAUCCAUGGGAUGCAUUCAAGGAUAACCCGACGAAACUGGAAGAAAAGAGCAUGUUAUAUACUACUUAAGAAAGAAGUUCACCGAUUGCGUGAGUAGGUAUUUGACGCUUGAAAAUACUUGUUGUGCACUUGCUUAGGAUACCAAACGCCUAAGGAAAAACAUUCUUACGCAUACAAUGUUCCUCAUCUCCAAGAUGGAUCCAGUCAAGUACAUCUUUGAGAAGCCUGCUCUAACCGAUAGAUUUACCCGUUGGCAAAUGGCCCUAACUGAGUAUGACAUUCAAUACGUCACCCAGAAAGAGGUCAAAGGGAGUGUCUUGCAGACUAACUUGCUCACCAAACCUUGAAGGAUAUUCAGUCCAUGCGUGUUGAAUUCCAUGACGAGGACAUCAUGAUGAUAAUGGAUUGCAACAUCCCCGACCUCGAAGAAGGACCAGAACCUGGAUCACGAUGGACACUUAUAUUUGACGAAGAUUCUAGCGCUCAUGGAAAUGGCAUUGGGGAAGUCAUCACCUCCUCGACUGGUUUUCAUAUACCUUUCAUCGUAAUGUUAUGUUUUGCUUGAACCAACAAUAUGGUGGAGUACGAGGUGUGUAUUUUUAGCAUAAAAGUUGCUAUUGACUUAAGAAUCAAAAUUCUUGAAGUAUAUGGAGAUUCAAUCUUAGUCAUCAGCCAAGUCAAAGGAGAAUGGGAAGCCCGUGAUCACAAGUUGAUCCCUUACAAGGAGCAUGUCCUAAAACCGAUCACGUACUUUGAUGAGAUCACCUUCCAUCAUAUCCCUCGAGAGGAAAAUUAGUUCGUCGAGGACUUAUCAAUUCUUUCAUCCAUGUUUAAGGUCAAAUAGAAAAAUGAAGCACCAUCUAUCCACAUUGACUACUUGGAUGAACCAACUUAUUGUUUUGCAGUCGAAGAUGAUUCUGAUGGACACCUCUUGUUCUAUGACAUCAUGAAGUACUUGGAAAUCCAAGAAUAUCUUGAGAACACACCCAUCACCGACAAGAAGUACCUUUAGAAAUUAUCAUCCAAGUUUUUCUUAAGUGGAGGGGUACUAUACAAAAGGAAUUAUGAUUCGGUCUUGCUUAGAUGUGUGAACAAACAAUAAGUAAACCAAAUUAUAAUCGAAAUACACAAAGGCUCCUUUAGGACACAUGUCAGUAGACACACGAUGGUCAAUAAAAUCUUGAGGGUGGGCUACUAUUGGAUGACCAUGGAGGCUGACUUCUACCACCACAUGCAAACAUGCAAUAAAUUCCAGAUUUAUGCAAUAAAACUCACGUGCCACCAGUACCACUCAAUACCUUAACAUCAUCUUGGCCUUUCGUCGUGUGGGGCAUUGACUCGAUCGGGCGCAUAUAGCCGAAUUCCUCAAAUGGAAAUCACUUUAUCUUGGUAGUUAUAGACUAUUUCAUUAAAUGGGUGGAAGUAGUCUAAUAGGAAAAUGUCACUAGACAAGUGGUGGCUCGUUUCUCGAAGAAAGAAAUCAUUUGCCGUUAUGGGGUCCCAAACAAGAUCAUUUCUAAUAAUGGAUCUAACCUCAGUAACAAGAUUAUGAAAGAGCUACGCAAGAGCUUCAAGAUAGAACAUUAAAACUCCUUGCCGUAUAGACCAAAGAUGAAUGGUGUUGUUGAGGCAGCCAAUAAAAACAUCAAGAAAAUCGUGCAAAGAUGGUAGAAACCUAUAAGGAUUGGCAUGAGAAGCUCCCGUUUGUGUUGCAUGGCUAUCGUACUUCUGUACGUACCUACACUAGGGAAAACCCCUUCGUUCUUGUAUAUUGAAUGGAUGCAGUCCUUCUUGUUGAAGUAGAUAUGCCCUCCUUGCGGAUUUUGACCAAUGUCGAGGUUGACGAAGCUGAAUAGGUACAAGCCAGAUUUGACCAGCUGAACCUCAUUGAUGAGAAGCGCUUGGAAGCCAUUUUCCAUGACCAACUAUACCAACAACAUAUCAAGAGGGAACAUGACAAGAAGGUCUUUCCCCGCAGCCUCAAGGUUGGAGACCUCAUCUUGAAGAAGAUUCUACUGAUUCACACUGACCCAAGGGGCAAAUGGACGUGGAACUAUGAAGGGCCAUACGUUGUAGGAAAGGUCUUCUCAGUAGGAGCCUUAAUACUUUCAACUAUGGAUGGUGAAGAUCUUCCAUCACCUGUGAAUGUGGAUGCAGUCAAAAAAUACUAUGCUUAAUAAAAAAAGAAAGAGCCCGAUAAGUUGAAAACCCGAAAGGGCGACUUAUGCAAAAAUGGGUAUCCCGAUAGAGUGAAAACCCGAAAGGGCGGUCUAGGAAAAAAUUAGGGAUUCAUAAAAAAGGCGAGAGGCUGCAGUCCACAAAAUAUAUUUCACACUCCCUGGCGAGUCAAUCCAAUCACUUUCUUCUGAAGCAAGAUAUGAGGACCUUCAAGGAUAUAAGGACAAUAGUAGAAUUGGAACUUGGUGAAAAUCCGAGCUAUUACCAUUAUAGUUUUUCCAUUUCUUUUUAUAAUCAGCUCUUUCAAAAAUUUCUUUUGUAUAUAAGUUACCCACUUUUGGCAUCAUUCUUUAUCAAUAAAAUCAUUUCCAUCAAAUGUGCUCAAUACUUUUACUUUUCCUACUUUGUUUGUGAAGUAUGAUUCUUUCCUUAAUUAACAUUGCAUUGGAAUUUUUUUGAGUGAAUAACUUUUACUAAAAAAAACAUUCAAAGGGAAAACAUUGAAGUUACUUUUCUUUCAAAAUAUAUAAGGGUAAUCAUAGUCCAACAUACUUGGUAUGACCCCAACAUCACAAAGCCACACAAUCCUUUAGACUUGGCCCAAUCAAGAAAUCCCCAACAGUUGCACCAAACACUUGGAUAUCAAAGAUCUAGAUCUCGAUGUCGGGAAGUCAGUUCCAUUCUCCCCAAACAAACUCAAAGCCCAGUCAUAAUUGGAACUCCCAACAAAUUAUCCCCCGCAAAACCCAAUCUUACUUUGUACAAUCUACAAACCUUGCAUUUACAUAAUCCCUAACAACCUGAACAUACAUCGGCAUUUUGCAUACAUAACAUUGCAUCAUAAGUAUACUCUUUAAUCUUGCUCAAGAACAUUUCCUCAUUUCUUCCCAAGCCGUUGCUAGGGAUGUUCAUCAUAAAAUUCAAUUUUCUUCCCCAGUUGUCGCUAGAGAUCAUAUUCAUCAACUUUUGACUUUCCCAGCCGUUGCUAGGAUUGUUUUGGUCAGAUUUCAGAACUUCCCCAACAGUUGCUAGGGAUUUUCCCCUGGAGAGUCGGGUAUUCCAACCGUUGCUAGGAAUUGUCACUGAACUAUUUUGUAUUCCCCGCCGAGUCAGGCAUUUCAGUGGUUGUCAGGAAUUAUCAACCUCAAUAUUCCCCUUCUAGAGUCAGGUAUUCUAAACCGUUGCUAGGAAUCAUCGCGGAACUUCUUUUUUCUCCAGCCAGAGUCAGGUAUUCCAACCAUUGUUGAGAAUGGUCACUGAGCUGUUUGGUUUUCCCCAACAGAUGUCAAGUAUUCCAGCCUUUGUUAGGAAUCAUCGCUGAGUUUCUUAUUUCCUUAGAAGAGUCGGGUAUUCUAGUCGUUGCUAUGAAUCUUCAUUGUACCCUCCUUUUUCUCUCCAACUGGGUCAGGUAUUCUAGCUGUUGCUAAGAAUCAUCAUUAAACCUAACAAUUAUCCCCACAAAGUCAGGUAUUCCAAGUCGAUGCUAGGAAUCAUCGUUGAACUUCUUUUUCCCCAACAAUCGCUAGGAACUUUUUUAUAAAAACGUUAGGUAUUCCAGCCGUUGCUAGGAAUCGUCACUAAACUUAAGGAUAUCCCUAGUAGACGUUCGAUAGUUUUUUCUAGGAAUCAUCAUUGAAUCUAAGUCUCCUCAUCAGAGUCAUGCAUUCUAGUUGUUGCUAGCAAUCGUCGUUGAACUUUUCCUCCCUAACCGUUGCUAGGGGCAGUCACCCAAAAAGUUUCCAAUGCAAUGUUAAGUCUCCUUCUUUGAAGAGAUACUUAUGUUGCAUAACUUGAAUUGUAUAUCAUACGUUUCAUCAUAAUCAUAUCCAUCCCCCAACAAACCAACUCAUAUCAGCUUCACCCCUAGUAGGGAAAAUUUCUGGUUACUCUUUUAGUAUUUAAUCCUACCCUACCAUGAACACAUUGGAAGUCGUUGUUAUCCAUACAUUCAGGUCCGAGAAGAUUAAAUAGGGAAAGUUUUCAUACCCUCAAAUUUACCCUACCAUAAUACAAUAUCCAUAACCCUAAUUCAUGAGCAUACAUCCCUCAUAUAUCAUUUCAUAUGCAUCUACACCCACAAUGAUCCACAAGUUCAAACUCAAAGCAAAAGGCUCAUAUAUGAAGCUUCAAGACUCUCUGAUCAUGUUGAGGUGUGCCCAAUUCACCUUAACCCUAAUCUUCAUCAUCAAGCAUCCCACAAACUUGAAGGAUCACUCAUGACACCUCACUCACCUCCAAAACCCUAAUUGGAUGAUGAUCCCUCAUUGAAUACAUGUGAAGAUUCAUCUGGUCACCCAAGGACCUCAACCCUAGUUCUUAAUCUUUAGUGGCUUGUACAAGUUCUCAAAUUGAGUCUUAACCUUACCUUUGAUUAUCCCUAAUAUCCAAACAUUGUUCAUGCCAUAACCAUUUAAAUUACCUCAAUACAUAUCUUUCACCUCAAAACCCUAAUUUGACUGGCCAUGGUUCUAGAUGAAACUUGUGGUCCAAGAAACCAUAGUUUGUGCAUCCCUUUGAUCCUAUGGUUUGCCUCACUUGAUCAUCCUAUGAUUGAUCACUUCAUUAACCUCAAAUUCAAGUCAUUUUCAAACAUAAUUCAUCAAUCAAACAACCAUUUCACCAUGGGAUAAUACCUUUGUUUUGGUCUUAUUUUACCAUUUCCAAUGCUUUUGUUCAUUCAUGGACAUGACUUAAAAUCAUCCCACAAAGCUCCAAGCCUCAAUUUCCAUCAUGAUAUGAUCAUAUGAGCUUCAAAGAUCCAUCAUCAUACCUUAAAAAUCAAUAAAUCACAAAGUGGCAUUUCUAGGUCAUUUUGGUUGGUCACAUUUUGGCAUGAAUGGCCUAUCAUUUGGUAAAAAGCCCAUAACUUUUUCACCUUCAAUCUUUUCAAGAUAUUCUUUUAUCCAAAUAUCCUAACUAGAUCCCUCUUCAACUUUGUUUCAAGGUCCCGGACCUAAUUCAUUGAGCAAGGAUCUCAAUAUUUUCCUUGGCCAAGCUGGUCAAGAUGCUUUGCCAGACAUAAAAUCAUGCUCAUGACCCCUACUUUACCUCAUUGCCAUUUCCAAACCACAACUCCUUUUGACCUGGUUAUUUUUUAAUUUGAUCAAGGGCAUGGAAAAGAACAUUUGGCACAAGUUUCAUGCAAAAUACACGAGCCAAUUUCAUUUAGCCCAAGUUCAAAAAUUGGACUUCACCAUGAUGCACAAACCAGACAAUAUGCAGUCAGAAUUUGAAUUUUGAUGCACCAAGCCACAAAAGUCAUGUCUUAUGAUCCCUUUUGGCCCAAGAUACAUUCCAUAACAUUAUAAGACAAGAUAACAAGUCAACUUGGUGGAAACAAAAGCACAUGUGAGCAUUUCGAGCCAAAGUCAAAAAGUGAAGUUUUUCCCAAAAUGGCAAAAAGACAAAGCCAUAGCAUGUCAGAUAAAAGCCCUUUGUUGCACCUAUAUGAUGCUAAAGGGAAAAACCAACUGGUUUGAAGUGAAGCAAGGUCAUAAACAGCGAACUCUUUUCCCAAAAAUCCCACCUUCGAGCAUGCCUCGAACGUCAACCAUUCUCUGAACAAAGCCCCUUCAUUCUCUCACAUAACACUUCCAUCACCUUCCCUAUAAAUAGAGGAAGGUAUUCCAUUAACUUUCCUAGCUUUUCAAACCAAAAUCUCCCUGCUUCGAAAUCGAGUCUUUCCAUUAAAAACAGAGUUGCACUUUCUGAGUUUUGAGUCUUUUCAAUCCAAAUCAAGCACCCAGAAACCUUCCCUCAACCUCAGUUGAGCUUUCUAAAACACUAACACACCUUGCAAACACCUGACCUGAGUUAUCCAUUAUCAUCGGAGUUCCACUCGGAAACUGAUUCCGACUAGUUAGUUCCAUUCUGAAACUGAUUACGACCAGGUAGUUCCACUCAUCUCCUUCACUCAAACAAGUUACCCUCUUGCUAGAAAUCACUCACUGAAGCUUAACCCCAUGGUUUAAAUCUUGUUUGAUUCAUAUCAACCAUUUAAUUUUAUUUUUAGGACAUUUCAUUUUUCUGUGUUCAUGUAAAAUACUCCACUCUCAGAGCCAAUCAAUGGCUCAUGAAUAUAGAGAAGAUAACGAUGAAGUUUGGGGAGGUUGAAUCCAUGAGUGAAUCCCUCUGAAAACACGGGUUUCAGAGUUUGGAUUUUGAUGUUCUGAGGUUGAAGAUGAUAUAAUGUCCGUUAUCACACGCGUUUUUCAAAUCCAAACAUUUGUCGUGUCUUGUCCUGAUUAUUUCAUUUUAGCGCGCGUGUUAUUUUAAUGUUAGCUUUAAUAUUUUAUUUGUAGAAGCGCCCCUUUGACACCAAAGGAUGCUUAGCCCAGUGGAUGGGGGUUGACCCCAUGACCCCAAGGUCAAGGGUUCAACCCCUAACACACUCAUUUGUUAUUUUUUAUCCCUUUUUUAUUUAUAUUUCCCACUUUCUUAUUUUUAAACUUUUUUUUCAUUUUGCUUUUAUUUUUUUCACCAUCCAUUUUAAUUAUGAUUAAAAUAUUUUCAACAUAAACCCUCAAUAUUUUUCUACCUUUUAUUUUAUUACACCUCUAGUUUAUUUCAUUUGGACUUUUUUUUAUCAUGACUUUGGAUUUUUUAGGGUUGAUAAAACUUUCAAUGUUUCAAAUCUACCAAUGAAUAAUAAAUUGAUCAUUCAUGAUACUUUGAGGCAUUGAUAGGUUGCCUCUAUAUAUCCAUAAUCAAGUCAUUUGAUGCAUAGUUAAAGCGAUGUUUGUUUAUAUAACUUGUUGUUUUACUUUGUUGUUUUAUUUCCAUUAUUACUAACCCUCUAACAUUCAUUAUUUCAAUAUUUAACUUGUUUAUAACAUGUACAUAAAUAGAUCAUUAACGUGUACAUUAAUCAACCAUUAACUUGUAAUGAUUGAGUGAUAUAAUCUUCCAUUUUUCAAAUCAUUUAUAGAUGGACGUGGGGUUGUAUAACUUUCAUUGUUUCAAAUCUAUUGUUAGAUGAUCAAAGAUCAUCUUCAAUACUUUGCAUCAGUGAUAAGUUAUCCCUUGAUGCGCCAUAUUUUGAGUCUUUUGACAUACGGAUAGAUAAUCCUCAAAUGUUUACUUUGUACAUUUAACUAACCACUAAUUAUACUUCACUAACUUUUUUCAUCACUAACCUUUGUUAUUGUGAUCUUGUUACUAUUAACUUGUGAUUUUCUUUAUAUCAAUUAUAUUGGAUUGUAAUUUCCUUUCAAGCACUCAUUAUCAUCAUCAUUUUAUAAACACCUCAUACAUGAUUAUUAGUGUCAUUUAUUUAUUGUCAUCAUACAAUCAAAAACAAUGAAAACAUGAUAAAAUUAUAAGACCAAAAAUAUGCAUUCCACUUGUAAUCAACUUGGACUUUGAGGAUUUCACUUAGGACCCUUGCUUGGAGACCUUUCCCUAAUCUUUUGACCCUUUGUCUCAACUUUAGAUUUCAUAUGUAACUUACACUCUUGUUUUAAGAAUGACAUCAUGACAAUACCCUAGGGAGACAUGAUUGUAAGACCAUUAUCCUUGUUAGCUUAGGUCACUUUUGCACACAUAAGGCUUUCUCUUGGGCUACCUUACAAUGAGACCUUUACUUUUCUUGCUUGGUUACUUUGUAUAUUCGUUGUAUGUCACCAAUUUCACAAUCAAAUCAAUAAACCCUUGAUACAACGUCAAGCGGAAUUUUCAUAGUAUAACUAAAAAACAAUAAAACUACGAUUAGUAUUGUGCGCCAUGAGCCUUAAGUGGUGAGGAAUGAGUAAGGAUGGAGUUUUCCUACCCUUACUCUGAUUAUUUUGGACACGAGGCAUUUGGCUUAUUUGUCUAGAAUAUUCAUCUCCGCUCAUAUACUUUAUUGCAAUCCAAUCAAAAACUUCUUUUCAUUAAUCCUUGUUCAAGGUAAAAUCAACACAACCCGUCAAAUUUAUUUUUGUGCCUUAGAAAACCACACCAAAAACCCUUUUCUCAAAGGUAAAAUAAACCAACCCAUAAACAUUUUCUAGUACAAACUACGGAGCUCUAAUUCUUCAUCACCCGAUGAAUGAUACGUAGGCACAAGGGCCACAAUCCUUGGCGAGCAUAGUAAUAAAAACCCAAAUGCCAUUUCUUUCACACUAUCUUUUGAAAAUAAAGAAAUAAGCAGAUACAUACACCCCCCCCCCCAAGGCACAAGGGCCACAAUCCUUGGCGAGCAUAGUAAUAAAAACCCAAAUGCCAUUUCUUUCACACUAUCUUUUGAAAAUAAAGAAAUAAGCAGAUACAUACACCCCCCCCCCCACACACACAACUUAAAUGGUUACCAUGGAUGUAAAGGGUGUUAAUAUCUUCCCAUUGCGUAAUCGACUUCCGAACCUAAUCUCGGUUGCGAGACCGAUUCCUUUUCCUUUUUUUUACAUUUGAGGAUUUUAUUGACUAUUUUCCCUCUCCUCUACCAAUGAGGAAUUCCAAUAAAAUUUGGUGGCAACUCUUCUGAUAUUUCCUUUCCUACUAUCUUCUUUAGAUUGGGAAGGCGAUUCUUUUAUUUAGUCCAUCCGGUUCCUUUCUCCCAAAACCAUGGUAGCGACACAUGGACCCCCAGUACCUUUAGUAAUUCCUUAUUCUGAGGGAAAUAACAAGGUGUGGGAGACCAACAAGACCAAUAUCUCAAAAGCCAACGGUUUGGUCCUAAACAAUCCAGUGUUUGCUUCCGGAAUUUUUUUAGUGGAAUCUCCAAGCAAGGGAAAGAACUUGAAGUUUGAUAAAGGGGCAAUCAUCUGUCGUAUACCUUCAUCUAAUGGUCAUGGCUCUAACACCUCUGAAAAUUGCAUGUCAGCAAAAUUUGAUUAUUCCUCUUAUGGGGCACGGGAAUUUAAUUCUGAUAGGUCGUAAGCAGUUUAGGCUGCCCGCUAUUAUUUACCCCAUUCAUAUACCAUGUGGAUAAUUUCUACCCUAUUUGAUUCAUAGUUUGCUAGUGGUACCUAAAUCCCUCGAGCCGAUACGUACCCCUUAUCCACCUGGGUAUGAUCCUAAUGCAUAAUGUGAAUACCAUAAGUGGUCAAUAAGGUGCUCUAUUGAAGACUGUUGUUCAUUCAAGGGUAAAGUUCAAGAAUUAAUGAACAAUAAACACCUAGUCUUUGAAUAAGACAACUCGGGUGUUGAGUGUGGGUACCACAUCGGAACCAUGGGGCAUGAUGUCGGCAAAUGCAAAAGCUUUCAGCGCAAGUUGCAGAAGCUAGUCAAUAAGAUAGAUCCAAGCCUAUAUAGUUUAAACCAAAGGCCUGACAAAGAGAAAAGCCAAAAAUAUCUUGGACCAUUUAGGAUCAUGUACUACAAAGAUAAGGUCAAGCCUAUGGGAGAUGAAACAACCUUAUUUCUUGACAAGAACGCUGAAACGACAACAGAGGAGGCCACCUCUCAUAUAAGUGAAGACAAAUAAGAGUUGAGAGAUAAAUCCAAGAAGGCUCCAUAUUGUGAGAAGGUCGAAAAGAGAAGACUCUGAAGAUCAUUCCACUGAUAUUGAUGAAAACAAAGACAUCAACCCUUGGGUCUCAAAGAGGUCAACCAAAUAGUGAAUCAAGUACCCCGAAGCUAGUGGGUCAUGCAAGAAGGUGUGUCCUUUAAGCCGUCGAUCAUUAAACUAUUUAUCGUUUGCAUGUGUAAUUUAUUUUAUGUUAAAUUCUACUUGUUGUAAGGUAGAGAAAAACAAGAAAGGGUGGUUUGAAUUGUUUUCACAGUAAUCAAAAACUUUUGCAACACUACACACACGAAAGUAAAUGCCAACAACACAAGAAAUUUAUCCUGGUUCGCUUGAAAAUAAAAGCUACUCUAGUCCACCCGGCCAAGGUGAUUUCGCCUUUAAUAUGGACUUAAUCCAAUAAUAUCAAUAGAUUACAAAAACAUCUAAGAGUUCAAUAAUCUCUUAGUCCUCUCAAGUCUACAGACUUAAACAAGUCACUUAAGAAAUAUCAACAAAUUAGAGAAGUAUAGGUGUUUGCUUUGUGCUUCAAAGUAAGCAGUAUAAACACAAUUAAGAACACAUGUCAAUGAUCACACUAUGAGAAACAACUUUUGUGUGAUUGCUUAAUUUUACAACGAAAAAUAUUGAGUAUAUAGAUCGAAGUGUAUUAUAGAAUUCUUGUGUGAUUGCUACAUUUUCAGCAUGAUGAUAAUGAGGCAUUUAUAUAGUACUUUGAGAUGAUACCUGUAAGACCCCAAUUUUGACCCUAAGAUCCCUCAUGUUAUUCUCAUCAUAUGCAUUAGCAUUGGGAUCACACCUUGGCAUCCUUCUUACCCCUCAUUCAUUGGGUUUGCAUUGGAAGAGAUCACCAAGUACCAUGUGAUUUAGUCAUACUUUGUUUUUUUAUCAUUUACUAACCAAAAUACCGAAAAUAUGUCAUUAUAUAGUUUAACUCUUUGGUAGGUAGUGCACAUGCUCACCUAUGCUCUAUCAAGUUCACAUCUAGGGCUUAAGACCCUCAUUACAAGGAGCUCAAUCAAGAAGUGGUUUACUAUGGCUUUAAGUAUCAUAUAUGAAUCCCCAUGAUCUUCACAUGUUAUUUUGAUCAAUAAAUCAUAAAGAGUUUGGAGUUGGUUUGCCUUGGAAACCCUAAUUCAGCUAGGUAUCUUGUGUAACUUCUUCAACAAGCUUCUUCACAAACUGAUCAAAUAUUUCAAGGUAUACUUCAAAUUUCAUCAUGUUAUGCAUAUAUGAUCCUCCAUGAGUCCCAAAAGUCAAGAGAAUAUGAAGCUAGCAAGAUGGUCCAUGGUGGUUGACCAGAGGAAUUCAACUCAUCAAAACGGGGGUUCCCUAGAUCCUAUCUCCUACAAUUUUUGUCAUAUGAAAAUGAUUCCAAGUGAAAAGUUACUCUAAAUUCCAUUCCAAACAACUUUCAUGUUGAGGUCAAGAGCUAGUUUUUCCUGGAAAGGCAUUUUAUAUGGUGAACGAUUAUAGGUCAUUUUGUCUAAACUCUAAUUUGGAGGUCAACUUUCCAAGACCAUAACUUGCUCAAUUUUUAGGAGAUGAAAUCCAUAAAAGUUGCAUGAUCAAAUUCAAGAUGUCUAAUUCAACUUCGAUGUAUGGAGGAAGAUCAAAUUCAACUUUUAAAUGCAUGUGAUAUGAGGAGACAUUAUAGGUCAUUUUGGGCCAAUACCAUUGAACAAGUGAUUUUCCUCAACUUCUAAAAUGCAUAACUCCUUCAUGCUAAAUCCAAAUUAGGUCAAAUUUGUGACCAAUUUUAAGGACUUUGAGAUAGAUACAACUUUGAUGAAGUAAAGUUUCUCAUUUGAAGCCCAUAAAAAAAGUUACUCAAGGUGGACGAAGUGAACAUAUGGCUUGACACUUAGAAAAAUAUUUUAUAUGUCUUAUUUUACAAACUUCCACCUUAUAAUUCAUCAUGAUCCAAACUUCAAAUGAAAACGUGUUCAACAUGAAUGAUGUUCCUCUUGAUCUAAACUUUCCAAAAAGUCCAAGUUCAUCCCAUUUGGACAAAGUAUGAGUGACUUGACAUUGGCUUAAAGUUGGAUGACCAUUUGACAUAUUUGAACUUCCACUUUCCAUACACAAGUGCAUGACUUAUUAACAUGACUUCAGCAUUGCUUGCACAUGAUUUUGGACCUGAAUGCAUCAUUAUAUGGGCCUAUCAACGCCCAUGCAUCCAUGCAAAGCCAUUUUGCUAUUUUUGAAAGCUUGAAACAAGUGUGCAAAUAACAAUGUCUUGGCUAUAAAUAGAAGCCCUUUCACUCAUAAUUGAGGACCCUUGCGCGCCAGCUUUGAAUCUCCAACCCUAAACCCUCACAUUCAAAGGAUAACCUUGAGGAUUUUCAUUAAAAAUCGAGUUUGAAUCUCCAUUGUUUUGAGAUUCAAAUCUCCAAGAGUCCUGCUUCUUUCUUGAUCCAUUUCCAUUCUAUCAAGCAUCCAGAGCAAAGCCAAGCACAAUUCAAAGCAAGACUGUGUCCAUCUGAACCUGCAGUAAAGGUGAAUUUCUGAAUUUUUCAUCUCUUCGAUUCUCACUCUAUUCUCUAUAAUUCUUGUUGAUUUUUGGUUGUCUGAAGUCCUACCAAUGUAGGCAGCAAGAUUGAGUUGCUUAGAGGUCAAAUCGAAGCAACUCAGAUCAUGAUCCUCAAAAUUCAACUCCUUGUAUCUUUCAAUAUACUUAGAGUUAGGUGAAAUUGAGGCCAAAUUCUAGUUCCUGAGCAUUUCUACUUUAAAUUCAUGUCCUCCUUUUUCAUUUUGGUGAUGGUUGAGGGUGGACCAGUCCGGUGAGGUCCACCGGAGAAGAUGACCGAAACUCUGGCUCCGACGGUGCGUUGGCAUGUCUCAGACCAUAGGAUCCAUUCAUUUUGUUUUAAUCUUAGGCGUUAGUUUCAAUUACCACUUGAGCAACGUAGACACUAGACCACCAUGGAACGCGCGCUGGGAGCCAUUUGAUCUGCCACCUCAAUUAAUGAGGGAGAUCAAGUGGUCCACGUAUUUUUGCAUUUUCUGAUUUUUGGUUUAAUUGCUUUAUUUUCAUUAAUUCAUAUUAAUUUUAAUAUUGACCCAAAAAAUAUGGGACUUUCACCAAAAAAAUUCAAAUAAAUUCCUCUUUCAUUUUCUGAAUUAAAAUUAUUUUUUGGAUCAAUAUUAAUAUUUUUCAUGAUUUAAUUGUUUUUGUGCAUGUUUUUAAUUAUUUAAAAAUACUUUUAAGUUUCCAAAAAUAUUGAAUUUUUUUCUCCAAGGUCCUUCGAUCUUGUUUGACCUAUGAUAAAUCUCAUGGCCAUUUAUUUCAUGUUUUGAUGAGGUUUUAGGAUUUUAACCAACCAUAAUAAAAUUUAAUGUAUUUUUAAUUGAUUUUUAAUUGUGUAAUUGCAAAUAAAUUGUGUUGAGGUAUUUGUGUUGACUUAUUGAGUUUGACUAUUGUUGUUGGGCCUUGGUCAAGGUUGAUUUGACUUUGUUGGAUUAAAAUCAUUGGAUUUAGGGGAUUGAUGAAAUGUACAUUUCAUCUCCCAAAAUCAAUGAAUGAUUUUAAUUUGAUAAAAGUCCUCUUUUGACCAAUUUGUGUUGAUUUCAUUUUCUCUCCCUCUUUCCUCUCAAUCCCAUUCUAUCCCCAUCCAUUUCUUUGACCUAUGAUAUCUCUAUAUCCUAAGGCUAGUCGAUUGCAAAAUUAACAUAAGUAUGGAUGAGAUUAUGUCCACCCUUCUGCCAUUUUCUUUUAAGUGUGGUAUGUUUUAGGAGUAUGGUUCAUAAUACCAUAUCUUUAACAUGCAUUAACACUAAAAAAUUUAUUGCCCGACCUCAUAUAGUUGACUUCUACGUAAGUCCAAUUACGAUUGCUUAACAUAGCACUAAAUUUUGACCUAAAAGUUAUAGCAUUCUAGUAAGUGAGAUUGUAAGUCUCUCCCAUUUCAUGGUAUUAUGUGGAAACUUAGCCUUUUUUCCUUCCUUUGGAAGAUGUCUUGGUUCAAGGAUCCAUGCUUGUGAACAGAGGGUUGAGUAUUCUUCAAAGAAUGACUUAAACAAUUGAAAAGCAAAAGCAAUACUAACUCCUAAUCAACUAACAUUUGACUAACUUUUAAUUUUAAGUCAUUUACCUUUUGCACUUUAAAUUCAAGUCUUUAUUCAUUUGCCAUUAUUCAUACCAUUUAACUUGUUUACUUUAAUGCCGUUUUCACUUUGCUCACUUGAGCCAUAUCUUGUGAUUACAUUGAGAUUGUAUAUACUUGUCGGUGUAUCUUGUUUGGUUUUAUGGUCUUUUGAACUUAAUGUACAUAAUAACAAUGAAAACUCUAAAAAAAGAUUUGUGUGGAUUGUUGGUUUUGAUCUGAGACAUUGGACUAAGAAUUAGGCAACAUUCCCUUAUGCAAAAGGACUUGGCCAAUGCCAACUUUUCUGAAACCAAGUGCUUGUGAAGUACACCUUCAUCUGAUGCAAGUAUGAGAUCCCUUUUGAGUUCAUCUACUACAUGAUCUUGGUGAAGUCGUUACUUUGAACCUAUGUCUAAUGCAUUAUUCUGAGCCAUUCAAGGAGUAUGUCAUCUGAUACAUGGGAGAUUAUGAAGAAGAUCAUGAAGUUGCUAGCUUGGAUGUGGCCAUCUUUAUUUGAUUUCUUUCUCUUCAUCUUUUCAUUUGUGUAUUGAUAUUUCUUGAUUCUAAAGUACAAUGGAAAAUUGGGUUUCUAUAAGACAUUCUUGUCUAUUGGAUUGCAUCCCAUUGGUCAGAUCUUUUCGACUCUUAACUUUUAAUGUUUGCUUAGGAUUAGUCUCUUCAUCUCCUCCCCACUUCUUAAAUUUCAAAUCUCUCCCUCCUUUAAAAAUCUUCUUUGGUGGCAAUUUCUAAACUUAGACUUUAUCGCAAAUUAGAAACUUUGGACCUUAUGCCAUUGCAUUUUUUCAAACUCUUUUCUUAAUCAAAUUUGUAGAUGAACUUAACUAUACUUGACUUAAAAUUUCAAAAGACAAAAAAACUAACACUCAUUCAAACCUCUUUAGGCCUUUUGUGCCUUUGUUAAACUUAAAAUUUUGUUAAAAGCAAACAACUCACUUUGAAAUUGUUACCACGAACUACGAGGUUUUGAUCCCUCAUUUUAUGUUGGUACGUAGCCAUAAGUCCAAAGGUCUUGUCAAACACAAAAAUAUAAUUAAUGAAUUCUUUUCUCAUCCCCACACUCUAUUUAUUGCAAACAUCUUUUUAUACCAAAACACAAUACCGUGAUGGUCAUGAAUUUACCCUACAAUACCGUUAAGUUUAUCCAUAGCUUGAUGGUCAUGAAUUUACCCUACAAUACCGUUGGACGGAAAUUAAUGGAUAUUUCUUGUCAAUUAUGGGACUUAAUGAUAUUAACUUUCUUGUCCUUUCCAUAGAAAUCUUGGAGUAUAAUCCACAAUUUUCUUAUAGAGAUUUGUACCAUACUUAGAAUACUUCUUGAUUAAGUUUCUGAUUUUGAUGAGUCAGAUGAUUUGUUUAGCGUGAAUCAGAGUGAGCAGACUCAGAGUCCUUGAGUAGAAGCUUGUAGUCUUCAGAUAUUCUCAUAACUAGUCUACAAAUAGUUGUUUAUUGAAUAGUAUUCAUAUUGAUGUUUGUUCAAUAGUCUUCAGAUAAAUGUUUGUUGAAUAGUCUUCAAUUGAGAUGUUUGUUGAAUAGUCUUCAGAUAGACGUGUCUUCUGAUGUUGUCUUGCAGAGUCAUCAGAUGUAGAGUCUUCCGACAUUAGAUAUGAACUUCAAUGUCAAAUUCUAUAUUUUAUUCUUUUAGAAGUGUUCUUGUUCGGAGUCAGAUAUGAUUUCUUUAUUGUUGGAUCAGCUAUUUCGAACUUUGUUAGAUGCCAUAUAUUGUUUUCCUCAUAUUCAUUUUUCCUUAGAAACCUGCAUACUUAGAGAAAAUUAUUAGGGUACCAUAUUGUUUCAUUCUUUGUUAUUCUAAAAACUUAGAGAUAUAUUGCAAAACAAAAAUCUUGUUCUAAUAAUCUCCCCCUUUUUUAUGAUGACAAAAACUUAGACUUUUGAUGAACCAAUGCUACUUUACAAAGAUACAGAUUUAAAUGAAUCAGAGGCAGAUAUAGUAUGACUCCCCCUGAGAUUUGCAAUCUCCCUCUAAGUUUGAUACUUA
rnacentral:lncRNA from 1 species